rnacentral:tRNA from 1 species
UGUGACUCAGUGUUAGAGCACUUGCCUAGCAUGCAAGAGGCCCUGGGUUCAAUUCCCAGCA